UUUAUUGGAGAGUUUGAUCCUGGCUCAGGAUGAACGCUGGCGGCGUGCCUAAUACAUGCAAGUCGAGCGAAUGGAUUAAGAGCUUGCUCUUAUGAAGUUAGCGGCGGACGGGUGAGUAACACGUGGGUAACCUACCCAUAAGACUGGGAUAACUCCGGGAAACCGGGGCUAAUACCGGAUAAUAUUUUGAACUGCAUAGUUCGAAAUUGAAAGGCGGCUUCGGCUGUCACUUAUGGAUGGACCCGCGUCGCAUUAGCUAGUUGGUGAGGUAACGGCUCACCAAGGCGACGAUGCGUAGCCGACCUGAGAGGGUGAUCGGCCACACUGGGACUGAGACACGGCCCAGACUCCUACGGGAGGCAGCAGUAGGGAAUCUUCCGCAAUGGACGAAAGUCUGACGGAGCAACGCCGCGUGAGUGAUGAAGGCUUUCGGGUCGUAAAACUCUGUUGUUAGGGAAGAACAAGUGCUAGUUGAAUAAGCUGGCACC
rnacentral:rRNA from 1 species